GACGAACGCUGGCGGCGUGCUUAAUACAUGCAAGUCGAACGGAAAGGCCCUGCUUUUGUGGGAUGCUCGAGGGGCGAACGGGGGAGGAACACGAGAGUAACCUGCCUUUGACUCUGGGAUAACUUCAGGAAACUGGGGCUAAUACCGGGUAGGAGCUCCUUUUGCAUGGUGGGGGGUUGAAAGUUUCGGCGGUUGGGGAAGGAAUCGCGGCUCGUCAGCUUGUCGGUGGGGUAGUGUCUUACCAAGGCUUUGACGGGUAGCCGGCCUGGGAGGGUGGCCGGCCGCAUUGGGCCUGAGAUGCGGCCCAGCCUCCUACGGGAGGCAGCGGUGGGGAAGAUUGCACUAUGGGAGGAAGCCUGAUGCAGCAACGCCGCGUGGGGGAUGAGGGCCUUCGGGUUGUAAACCGCUUUCGCCUGUGACGAGGCGUGAGUGACGGUAAUGGGUAAAGAAGCACCGGCUAACUACGUG
rnacentral:rRNA from 1 species